AAUCAACGCUGGCGGCGUGCCUAACACAUGCAAGUCGAACGCGAAAGCUCCGCAAGGGGCAAGUAGAGUGGCAAACGGGUGAGUAACACGUGGGUGACCUGCCUUCGAGCGGGGGAUAACGUCCCGAAAGGGACGCUAAUACCGCAUAACAUCCUGCCUUUGAAGAGGCGGAGAUCAAAGCCGGGGAUCGCAAGACCUGGCACUCGGAGAGGGGCCCGCGUCUGAUUAGCUAGUUGGUGGGGUAAUGGCCUACCAAGGCAACGAUCAGUAGCGGGUCUGAGAGGAUGAUCCGUCACACUGGAACUGAGACACGGUCCAGACUCCUACGGGAGG
rnacentral:rRNA from 1 species